rnacentral:rRNA from 1 species
UUUGACGAGGGAUCCUAGCGUUGUUUGGAAUUAUUGGGCGUAAAGCGGAUGUAGGUGGCUUUGUAAGUCAGAUGUGAAAGCCCAGGGCUCAACCCUGGAAGUGCAUUUGAUACUGCGAAGCUUGAGUGUCGGAGAGGUUACUAGAAUUGUUGGUGUAGUGGUGAAAUACGUAGAUAUCAACAGGAAUACCGGAGGCGAAGGCGGGUAACUGGCCGAACACUGACACUGAGAUCCGAAAGCGUGGGGAUCAAACAGGAUUAGAUACCCUGGUAGUCCACGCCGUAAACGAUGGAUACUUGUUGUUGGAGGUAUUGACCCCUUCAGUGACGAAGCUAACGCGUUAAGUAUCCCGCCUGGGGAGUACGGUCGCAAGAUUAAAACUCAAAGAAAUUGACGGGAGCCCGCACAAGCGGUGGAGCAUGUGGUUAAUCGAUGCACCGU